CGUCUCGUCUCCUCAUCUCAUUCUCAGCACGCCAGGCACGGCCGAGCGAGCGCUCCUCCUCCCAAACCCACGCCGAGACCGAUGCCGGUGGCCGAGGUGACCAGCGGCGGGAGUAGGCACCGCGCCCGCGCCGUCUCCGCAGACCGCCUCGUCACCGUCUUCUCCGCCAACGGCCGCCUCUACCAAGUCGAUUACGCUUGGAACGCCACGAGGCUUGCGGGCGUCACCUCCGUCGGCGUGCGCGGGGCCGACUCCGUCUGCGUCGUCGGCCAGCGGAAGCCGAGCGCGCCCAAGGACAAGUUGCUGGACAUGACCAGCGUUUCGCGCCUGUUCCGGAUCACCGAGCGGCUGGGGUUGCUUGCCACGGGGAUCGUAGGUGAAGGAAGAGCAUUGGCUCAUGAGGCAAGGAAUCAAACUGCAGAAUUUCGUUUCCAAUGGGGAUAUGAAAUGCCUCCUGAUGUUUUGGCACAAUGGAUUGCAGACAGAGCACAGAUCUGGACCCAGUAUGGUUCCAGGAGACCUUCUGGAGUUGUUGCUAUGAUUUUGGGCAUUGAUGAUGAGAAAGAAACUCCACAGCUCUAUACAAGUGAUCCUGCUGGGUAUUUCUUCGGUCACAAGGCAGCAAGUGCUGGCCAAAGAGACAGGGAGGCUGUCAACUUUCUUGAGAAGAGAAUGAAGAACAAUCCUUCACUAUCAUUUCAGGAAACCGUUCAGAUGGCAAUAUCAGCGUUACAGUUUGCCCUGAAGGAAGACCUCAAAGCCACAGAAAUCGAGGUUGGGGUUGUCAGGACGAAUGAUCCAACUUUCAGAGUGCUGACAGAAGCUGAAAUCGAUGAGCACCUGAAAGCCAUCAACCCAGGCAAAGCAGAGCUGAAGGACAAACAAAGCAGCUUGCUCAGCUACUAGUCUUCUGAAUCUUCUAAGGCCUACCAAAUCUUAAUCUGGAGCCGAUUACUGUACAUCAGAGAGACAAUUUCCCGACGAAGUUGGUCGCGAGGCUUCCGAGGAAGAUGUCCCCGUUGAACUCCGUAACCGAUGUGACGGAGUUGAUCACCUUCCCUUCGGAGUCGUCAAGCACGCGGAGGAUGUUGCCAUCCUCCGACACCUGAGCCACCAUGGCACCCUUGAUCGUUGCCUUGCUCCACUUGAGGAGCACGGGGAACGAGGCCACCACUCUCUUCGUGAAGGUCCAGCGCGUGAUGAAAUCCAGCCAUGGCGAACUGAUCAGCUGCAUUUUGGACACCAGAAACUCAAAACUGUCAGGUGAUGCUGUUGGUAAGUUAGGCAUGGAUGAUGCGAGGAGGCGGGAGCCAGUGGCUGGAAGGCUGACGUGGAGGGCAAUCCAGAAAUGACCGUCUGACCCGAGACGAAUGUUAUCUGGAGCUCCCGGGAGGUCGACGAACGUCUCUGCCUUGCCGGCUUUCUCCCCUUUCAGCCACACUUUCAGGCACCUGAACCUGCAUGUUUUUUUCUCCACAUCUGAUUGGUUCUCCAUAUGUA